rnacentral:rRNA from 1 species
AUUGAACGCUGGCGGCAGGCCUAACACAUGCAAGUCGAGCGGAGCGGCGGACGGGUGAGUAAUGCCUAGGAAUCUGCCUGGUAGUGGGGGAUAACGUCCGGAAACGGGCGCUAAUACCGCAUACUAUCAGAUGAGCCUAGGCCGGAUUAGCUAGUUGGUGGGGUAAAGGCUCCCCUAGGCGACGAUCUCUAGCUGGUCGGAGAGGAUGAUCAGCCCCACGGGGACGUGUACACGGCCCAGACUCCUACGGUAGGAAGCAGUGGGGAAUAUUGCACAAUGGGCGCAAGCCUUAUGCAGCCAUGCCGCGUGUAUGAUGAAGGCCUUAGGGUUGUAAAGUACUUUCAGCUGGGAGGCGUUACCCGCAGAAGAAGCACCGGCUAACUCCGUGCCAGCAGCCGCGGUAAUAC